rnacentral:rRNA from 1 species
UGAAUCCUACGGGGGGCAGCAGUGAGGAAUAUUGGUCAAUGGGCGCGAGCCUGAACCAGCCAAGUAGCGUGAAGGAUGACUGCCCUACGGGUUGUAAACUUCUUUUAUAAAGGAAUAAAGUGAGGCACGUGUGCCUUUUUGUAUGUACUUUAUGAAUAAGGAUCGGCUAACUCCGUGCCAGCAGCCGCGGUAAUACGGAGGAUCCGAGCGUUAUCCGGAUUUAUUGGGUUUAAAGGGAGCGUAGAUGGGUUGUUAAGUCAGUUGUGAAAGUUUGCGGGUUAAGCGUAAAAUUGUAAUUG